rnacentral:rRNA from 1 species
AUGCAAGUCGAACGGCAGCACGGACUUCGGUCUGGUGGCGAGUGGCGAACGCGGUGAGUAACAUAUCGGAACGUAUCCAAUAAUGGGGGAUAACUAAUCGAAAGGUUGGCUAAUACCGCAUACGCCCUACGGGGGAAAGCAGGGGAUCUUCGGACCUUGCGUUAAUGGAGCGGCUGAUAUCUGAUUAGCUAGUUGGUGAGGUAAAGGCUCACCAAGGCGACGAUCAGUAGCUGGUCUGAGAGGACGACCAGCCACACUGGAACUGAGACACGGUCCAGACUCCUACGGGAGGCAGCAGUGGGGAAUUUUGGACAAUGGGCGCAAGCCUGAUCCAGCCAUUCCGCGUGAGUGAAGAAGGCCUUCGGGUUGUAAAGCUCUUUCGCAAGGGAAGAAAACUUACUUUCUAAUAAAGAGUGAGGUUGACGGUACCUUGAUAAGAAGCACCGGCUAACUACGUGCCAGCAGCCGCGGUAAUACGUAGGGUGCGAGCGUUAAUCGGAAUUACUGGGCGUAAAGCGUGCGCAGGCGGUUUUGUAAGUCAGAUGUGAAAUCCCCGAGCUCAACUUGGGAACUGCGUUUGAAACUACAAGACUAGAAUAUGUCAGAGGGGGGUAGAAUUCCACGUGUAGCAGUGAAAUGCGUAGAGAUGUGGAGGAAUACCAAUGGCGAAGGCAGCCCCCUGGGAUAAUAUUGACGCUCAUGCACGAAAGCGUGGGGAGCAAACAGGAUUAGAUACCCUGGUAGUCCACGCCCUAAACGAUGUCUACUAGUUGUUGGUGGAGUAAAAUCCAUGAGUAACGCAGCUAACGCGUGAAGUAGACCGCCUGGGGAGUACGGUCGCAAGAUUAAAACUCAAAUGAAUUGACGGGGGCCCGCACAAGCGGUGGAUUAUGUGGAUUAAUU